rnacentral:rRNA from 1 species
CCUACGGGUGGCUGCAGUGGGGAAUAUUGGACAAUGGGCGAAAGCCUGAUCCAGCCAUGCCGCGUGUGUGAAGAAGGCCUUCGGGUUGUAAAGCACUUUCAGUGGGGAAGAAAGCCUUGGGGCUAAUACCCUCGAGGAAGGACAUCACCCACAGAAGAAGCACCGGCUAACUCCGUGCCAGCAGCCGCGGUAAUACGGAGGGUGCGAGCGUUAAUCGGAAUUACUGGGCGUAAAGCGCGCGUAGGCGGUCUGAUAAGCCGGUUGUGAAAGCCCCGGGCUCAACCUGGGAACGGCAUCCGGAACUGUCAGGCUAGAGUGCAGGAGAGGAAGGUAGAAUUCCCGGUGUAGCAGUGAAAUGCGUAGAGAUCGGGAGGAAUACCAGUGGCGAAGGCGGCCUUCUGGACUGACACUGACGCUGAGGUGCGAAAGCGUGGGUAGCAAACAGGAUUAGAUACCCGGGUAGUC